UAGGAUGGGGCAAUGAAGAAUUGAAAAAAAAAAAUCUCAAGAAAAUUUAUUUAUGAAUCAAAACAAAAUUAAAAAGAAAAACUCUCAAAACAAAACAACUUAAUCAUCGUACAACAGGUACAGUUUUUUUUAUAAAAAAAAAACUCUUCGUCUCUUCGUAUCUCCUCUCUCCCCUCUAUGACGAGUCGUUGUAUCCUCUCCGUCGAAUUCGACCACCGUUGUUCUGCUGCCGUAUCCUCUCCGCUAAAUCCGACUAUCGUUGCUCUGCUCCGCCAUUGCCGACGCCGCCGUUUCUCUCUCUAUUACCUCCAUUCGAAGAUAUUUAAGUCGCUUAAAGAUACUGAUAUUAUUCGAACAUUCACUGUAAAGAGGUCUCGGAGAGGGCAUUUACCUCCCAAUUUUAUUUAGCACAGUAUUCGCAGUUUGUGUCGGUGACUAUAGAGCCAACCCAACAUGAAAGCGACGCAUAUACUAAUGUACUAGCACUACUGAUUAGUUGUGUGUAGUCACGCGCCUAAGGUAGUUUCUGUUUUAGCUUGAUUUUGAAAUACUCGCU